CCAGACUCCUACGGGAGGCAGCAGUGCUGAAUCAUUCGCCAAUGCGCGAAAGCGUGACGGUGCGACGCCGCGUGCGGGAUGAAGGCCUUCAGGUUGUAAACCGCUGUCAGGGUCUAGGAAACCGCCGACGUGAAUAGCGGCGGCGCUGACCAGGCCCAGAGGAAGUGCAGGCUAACCUCGUGCCAGCAGCCGCGGUAAGACGAGGUGCACAAGCGUUGUUCGGAAUCACUGGGCAUAAAGAGUGCGUAGGCGGUCUGGUAAGUCGGGUGUGAAAGCCCUCGGCUCAACCGGGGAAUUGCUUCCGAUACUGGCAGACUUGAGAGCGAAAGGGGCAAGCGGAAUUCCAGGUGUAGCGGUGGAAUGCGUAGAUAUCUGGGAGAACGCCGAAGCGCCGAAAGGCAGGCUUUGCUUGGGUCGCAUCUGACGCUGAGGCACGAGAGCUAGGGGAGCGAACAGGAUUAGAUACCCUUGGUAGUCCUAGCUGUUAACGAUUGGGCACUUUGCUUUGGGGGACCUGAUUCCCUACAGGGCCGGAGCUAACGCGUUUAGGUGCCCCGCCUGGGGGAGUAUGGGUCGCAAGGCUUAACAUANCUCCAAANNGGGANAUUGACCGGGGGCGUCACACAAGCGGUGGAGCAUGUUGUUCAAUUCGAAGCAACGCGAAGAACCUUACCUUGGGCUUGACAUGCUAGUGGUACAAACCCGAAAGGGGGCGGACCUCUUAACCGAGGAGCUAGCACAGGUGCUGCAUGGCUGUCGUCAGCUCGUGUCGUGAGACGUUGGGUUNAAGNUUCACCGUAACGAACGAAACCCUUGUCGCUUGUUGCUACCGGGUCAUGCCGGGCACUCUGGCGAGACUGCCGGUCCAAACCGGAGGAAGGUGGGGACGACGUCAAGUCAUCAUGGUCCUUACGUCCAGGGCUACAAACGUGCUACAAUGGCAGGUACAGAGAGACGCAAAGCCGCGAGGUGGAGCAAAUCUUCAAAACCUGCCCCAGUUCAGAUUGGAGGCUGCAAUUCGCCUCCAUGAAGGUGGAAUCGCUAGUAAUCGCGGAUCAGCAACGCCGCGGUGAAUCUGUUCCUGAGCCUGUACACACCGCCCGUCAAGCCAUCCAAGCUGGAAGCACCCGAAGUCCGGCGCC
rnacentral:rRNA from 1 species